AAAUAGAUUUCUGAAUUGGCCAGUUAUCUGACUAAACCAGGACUGGCUCACCACCCAGCUACAUCAGGACCAGCAAGUACCAGUUGGUGUGAAAGGUACAGAGGCAGAAGCAAUUGAGAACUCUGGGAGAUAGCCAAGUAGGGAUGAAUGGCAGCUCUUGACUGAGAACAUCUUCUGAAGUGACCCUGGUAGUAUGAAGUUAUUUUAAAUCUGUGAUAUCUCAUCUGUUUAGCAAUCAAAAAUGAGCUCGACGGCCCCUCCCAGACCGUAUAAUAGGCUGGC
rnacentral:lncRNA from 1 species